rnacentral:lncRNA from 1 species
CAGUGAAUAGGGAGAUAACUCUUACAAAGAAAAUGGUUCGGCUUAGCCUUGACCUAAUUUUCAUUUUUUUGGACCAAGGACCUCAAAUCAAAAGAUCCUAGGUCUCUAUAACUUAUGGUUUACAAGAUAGAAAUGCAUAUCACUUAUAUCAAAUGCAUAAGGGGAAAUAACUCUCAUAUGGAGCUUUCAUAUCGCUUCGGUCAAAAUAGAACAAAUCAUGUGAAGGAUAUAACGAGCAAUUUUGUAAAAUAAAUUUGUCGUAAUCUUUUACGGUUGCGAAGGAGUCGUGGACACAAGG